UCAAACACCAGUUCCCAUACAAUCACAAAAGUUAAGCAAUGUCGAGCCUGGUCAGUACCUUGAUAAAUGACUGCUUGGGAAUACCAGGAGCUGUAAG